GUUUUAGAAUAUUAAUGACAUAUAAAAAGACAUGAAACCACAUCAACUGUGUUCACAUGUUCACAAAAUAUGUGAACAAAAAAUGUUUGGGAUAGCAGAUAAACAAAAUAAUCAAAUGAAAUCAUGUCUUUCCAAAUUAAAAAUGUGAUUUCCAAGGUGUUCCCAAUAUAAUCAUCUUAGCUCUAGCUUUCUUUCAUUAUUUCCCAAUCCUGUCACAAACUAUUGUGCCAGAGACAUUCCCAUUCUCAUGUUAUGGUCUUCUUCCUUUUCUCCACUUAUCAUCUGGCUCUAUUUCAUGGCUCCGCCCUCAUUCCAGAGAUUUUUCCCACAAGCCCUAGAAUCUUUGUGAGGUAGGGCCAAGGGGAGGUCCUUACAGCACAGACCACGCCCACAGGGGGGACUGUGGGACCCUUGCUUCUUCUUCUUCUUCCUCUAGUUUCUGCUUGAUUCUACACCACCAACACUCCCAUCAUAAAACAGACCUGGCCUUAGGCCUCAGCAACUGACUACAGAUAAGAACCUUCAAAAUUGUGAGCCAAAAUAAAUAUUUUCUUCUUAAUCACAAGUUGAUUAUCUCAGGUAUUUUGGAAUAGUAGCUGCUCAUACCUGGACAGUGGUGCAUUAUUUCCUACAAAUUUUUUGUUAGUUUUCAACUUGAGUUUUUCUAAAGUUAAUCUGUGGCCUAUUUUAAUUUUUUUAUUCCUAUACUAUUCAUUUAUAUUUUCCCCAAACUCUCUAUGGGAAUGCUAGAACCAUGCUAGGUCCAGGCUGGUCACCUAACAGAGGAAAUGUACCAGCAUCAUAUUUUUCAGGAGACCAUCCCCCUUAGGACUCUCCUCAUUUUUCUCCUGCAAUCUGCAGGAGCUGCUCUCCAGACUGCUGGACAACUGUUGGCAUGGGACUUCCCUUUACCAGCAUGGUCAAGGCCAAAGCCUAAGAUUCAGUGGCAGGAAGAAAAAGGGACAAGUACAGAGUGCAGCAACUUCAAUAGAAGGAUCCACUGCACUAUGAAAAGCAGACACUGGAAUGGAAAAGGUUAAAUGAGAAAGCCAGUUCACUUGGAAGGGAAAUCAUCCAUUUCAUUGGCAGAAAGUGAGGACAGCAACUUGAUAAACGUUUCUCAUCUCCACCAGGAAUGCAAGAUCCUAGAGCAAGGCACGUCCUCAGCAAACACAUGGUUUUGAGAAAAGUGACUCCGUGCAACACUGGAGUCUUCCUGUAUGGAGAGGUUGGGGAGGAUGCAUGCCAGACAUAACAAGCAUUUUUCUCUCUUCGAUCUUAUUAAUGUUUCAAAACAAUCUUACUUUGUUUUCAAGGUGGCAUUAUUGUGAGAAUUAACUUUAGUGAAAAACCUCUUUUGUCUACAGAAUAUAUUUGGAUAUAGCCAGAGAUUUUAACGAAUUUUUAGGUUAAGGCUAAAAUAGUAAUUCUUUGUUUGAGCAGCAAGCAAUAUGCAGAUUAUUGUCUACUGAGACUAUAAAACAGAAAACAUCAUGUAGAGAUUGAUACCGCAUCAGGGGUGGUGAUUGUCAACAUCUGUUGUAAUUUAUUUGAAGUUCUUUCUAUUGCCUCUAAAUCACAGCUUUUCCUAUAUGAUUUAAUUUUAAAAACCAGGUAACUACUGCUCUAAUAAAAAGUUUCUGAGAUGUAAGGAAUACUGGAUUACAAAUUAAGAGAUGGUGAGAUCUAGUCCUAAUCCUACUUAGUGGGUAUGUGUUGUAUGGUAAGAAAUCCAGAGCCGGGGCCCCAAUCCACCGUGGGAAGGAGUACCACGCCUGAUCCCGACCCAGCCACCAUCACUCAAGUGCCGGGAAGGUAGCUCAGCGGGCGCCUCUGAACCCCUAUAACUCCCCCACCCCUGCACUCUCAGACCUCCUGACUGUGCCAGUCUUUGGACCCACUCUGCAGAGGCAGAGGUGGUUAUCAAGAGUAUUUUAC
ensembl:lincRNA